rnacentral:rRNA from 1 species
GAUGAACGCUAGCUACAGGCUUAACACAUGCAAGUCGAGGGGCAGCACAGUGUAGCAAUACACGGGUGGCGACCGGCGCACGGGUGCGUAACGCGUAUCGAACCUGCCCUGUACUCGGGGAUAGCCUUGCGAAAGUAAGAUUAAUACCCGAUGUUGUUAUUGUUUCGCAUGAGAUGAUAACCAAAGAAUUUCGGUACAGGAUGGCGAUGCGUGACAUUAGGUAGUAGGUGAGGUAACGGCUCACCUAGCCUACGAUGUCUAGGGGUUCUGAGAGGAGGGUCCCCCACACUGGAACUGAGACACGGUCCAG